ACAGCAGUCGCCACGGUAAUACGGAGGGUGCAAGCGUUAAUCGGAAUUACUGGGCGUAAAGCGCACGCAGGCGGUCUGUCAAGUCAGAUGUGAAAUCCCCGGGCUUAACCUGGGAACUGCAUUUGAAACUGGCAGGCUAGAGUCUUGUAGAGGGGGGUAGAAUUCCAGGUGUAGCGGUGAAAUGCGUAGAGAUCUGGAGGAAUACCGGUGGCGAAGGCGGCCCCCUGGACAAAGACUGACGCUCAGGUGCGAAAGCGUGGGGAGCAAACAGGAUUAGAUACCCCUGUAGUCCCUGUCUCUUAUAC
rnacentral:rRNA from 1 species